rnacentral:rRNA from 1 species
GACAGAGGGUGCAGACGUUGUUCGGAAUUACUGGGCGUAAAGCGCGUGUAGGCGGCUAUGUAAGUCGGGCGUGAAAUCCCACGGCUCAACCGUGGAAGUGCACCCGAAACUGCGUAGCUAGAGUCCUGGAGAGGAAGGUGGAAUGCUUGGUGUAGAGGUGAAAUUCGUAGAUAUCAAGCGGAACACCAGUGGCGAAGGCGGCUCACUGGACCGGUACUGACGCUGAUGCGCGAAAGCGUGGGUAGCAAACAGG